rnacentral:rRNA from 1 species
AAAAAGGCUAUCGCCUCCAUGUUCAUGCUUAUGUAUUGGGAGAUUUGAAAAGAGCGCAACGCAAGGGUGUUUCCCAACUCCGCCGCUACAACGAUGAUAGUCGUCGCAAAGAUCAAAGAGAAGGCCCAUCUUUGGGCUAUGGCAGGUGCCACCCACUUGAGUAUUGUCACGCUGCGAGCAGUUCUUUAUUCCCUGAUUCGCGGCUAUUUGUCUAAAAUCAUCUUCUUUAAUCAAUAA